rnacentral:rRNA from 1 species
GUCUACGGCCAUGUCACCCUGAACAAGCCUGAAAUCUGAUCUUGGAAGCUAAGCAGAGUCGGUUCUGGUUAGUACUUGGAUGGGAGACCACCUAGGAAGACCAGGUGUUGUAGGCA